GCCUGCUUGUUCCUCAGUGGUCUGGGGUGCAGGCUUCAAACCUGUAGCUGUAUAGCGACAGAGCGAUUCUGCUCCACCUUUCAGGCA